GUUUGGUUAAGUUAGAAAGGGCGCACGGUGGAUGCCUUGACACUAGGAGUCGAUGAAGGACGGGACUAACGCCGAUAUGCUUCGGGGAGCUGUAAGUAAGCUUUGAUCCGAAGAUUUCCGAAUGGGGAAACCCACUAUACGUAAUGGUAUGGUAUCCUUACCUGAAUACAUAGGGUAUGGAAGACAGACCCAGGGAACUGAAACAUCUAAGUACCUGGAGGAAGAGAAAGCAAAUGCGAUUUCCUGAGUAGCGGCGAGCGAAACGGAACAUAGCCCAAACCAAGAGGCUUGCCUCUUGGGGUUGUAGGACAUUCUAUACGGAGUUACAAAGGAACGAGGUAGACGAAGCGACCUGGAAAGGUCCGUCGUAGAGGGUAACAACCCCGUAGUCGAAACUUCGUUCUCUCUUGAAUGUAUCCUGAGUACGGCGGAACACGUGAAAUUCCGUCGGAAUCUGGGAGGACCAUCUCCCAAGGCUAAAUACUCCCUAGUGAUCGAUAGUGAACCAGUACCGUGAGGGAAAGGUGAAAAGCACCCCGGAAGGGGAGUGAAAGAGAUCCUGAAACCGUGUGCCUACAAAUAGUCAGAGCCCGUUAAUGGGUGAUGGCGUGCCUUUUGUAGAAUGAACCGGCGAGUUACGAUCCCGUGCAAGGUUAAGCUGAAGAGGCGGAGCCGCAGCGAAAGCGAGUCUGAAUAGGGCGUUUAGUACGUGGUCGUAGACCCGAAACCAGGUGAUCUACCCAUGUCCAGGGUGAAGUUCAGGUAACACUGAAUGGAGGCCCGAACCCACGCACGUUGAAAAGUGCGGGGAUGAGGUGUGGGUAGCGGAGAAAUUCCAAUCGAACCUGGAGAUAGCUGGUUCUCCCCGAAAUAGCUUUAGGGCUAGCCUUAAGUGUAAGAGUCUUGGAGGUAGAGCACUGAUUGAACUAGGGGUCCUCAUCGGAUUACCGAAUUCAGUCAAACUCCGAAUGCCAAUGACUUAUCCUUAGGAGUCAGACUGCGAGUGAUAAGAUCCGUAGUCAAGAGGGAAACAGCCCAGAUCGCCAGCUAAGGUCCCAAAGUGUGUAUUAAGUGGAAAAGGAUGUGGAGUUGCUUAGACAACUAGGAUGUUGGCUUAGAAGCAGCCACCAUUUAAAGAGUGCGUAAUAGCUCACUAGUCGAGUGACUCUGCGCCGAAAAUGUACCGGGGCUAAAUACACCACCGAAGCUGCGAAUUGAUACCAAUGGUAUCAGUGGUAGGGGAGCGUUCUAAGUGCAGUGAAGUCAGACCGGAAGGACUGGUGGAGCGCUUAGAAGUGAGAAUGCCGGUAUGAGUAGCGAAAGACGGGUGAGAAUCCCGUCCACCGAAUGCCUAAGGUUUCCUGAGGAAGGCUCGUCCGCUCAGGGUUAGUCAGGACCUAAGCCGAGGCCGACAGGCGUAGGCGAUGGACAACAGGUUGAUAUUCCUGUACCACCUCUUUAUCGUUUGAGCAAUGGAGGGACGCAGAAGGAUAGAAGAAGCGUGCGAUUGGUUGUGCACGUCCAAGCAGUUAGGCUGAUAAGUAGGCAAAUCCGCUUAUCGUGAAGGCUGAGCUGUGAUGG
rnacentral:rRNA from 1 species